AGAGUUUGAUCCUGGCUCUAGAUUGAACGCUGGCGGCAUGCUUUACACAUGCAAGUCGACGGCAGCGCGGGGGCAACCCUGGCGGCGAGCGGCGAACGGGUGAGUAAUGCAUCGGAACGUAUCCCGGUAAUGGGGGAUAACGUAGCGAAAGUUACGCUAAUACCGCAUACGCUCGAGAGAGGAAAGUGGGGGAUCGCAAGACCUCACGUUAUAGGAGCGGCCGAUGUCCGAUUAGCUAGUUGGUGGGGUAAAGGCCUACCAAGGCGACGAUCGGUAGCUGGUCUGAGAGGAUGAUCAGCCACACUGGGACUGAGACACGGCCCAGACUCCUACGGGAGGCAGCAGUGGGGAAUUUUGGACAAUGGGCGAAAGCCUGAUCCAGCCAUGCCGCGUGCGGGAAGAAGGCCUUCGGGUUGUAAACCGCUUUAGUCCGGGAAAAAGGGGUGCGAGGAUAAUACCCUCGUGCUUUGAUGGUACUGGAAGAAUAAGCACCGGCUAACUACGUG
rnacentral:rRNA from 1 species